rnacentral:rRNA from 1 species
UACAGAGGGUGCGAGCGUUAAUCGGAAUUGCUGGGCGUAAAGCGUGCGUAGACGGUUAUUUAAGUCGGGUGUGAAAGCCCCGGGCUCAACCUGGGAAUUGCAUUCGAGACUGAAUAGCUAGGGUACGGUAGAGGGAAGUGGAAUUUCCGGUGUAGCGGUGAAAUGCGUAGAUAUCGGAAGGAACAUCAGUGGCGAAAGCGACUUCCUGGACCAGUACCGACGUUCAGGCACGAAAGCGUGGGGAGCAAACAGG